rnacentral:lncRNA from 1 species
CAGAUGCCCGCCACCGCACCCAGUCACAGAUGGACUCUGAGAGAGAAAAUAGCACCCCUGUCCAAACGUCACAUGCCUGGCGGAGGAACGCAGCCUGGCCUGUGCAGCCGAAUGUCGGAGAGUGCACCUUCCUCUCUUAUUUUGUUUUAUUUCCAGGGAAAGGGAAAGGAAGACAUGCAGUCUCAUUGAAGUCCUUGGGUCACUUUACCCCUGCCCUUGGGUUGAUGGACGAUCAGAUGUCUUCCUUCUCAUGCUGGCUGAGACAUCAAACACCAGAGUGGACUUACUUGGCUCCAGUGCUGGUGAUGGGCACUUCUGGGUGAAUGGAAUCUGGGGUGUAUGUAUACUAGCGAAUUUGCUGGUUCUUAGUGCAGGAUCAUUUGAAAAUUUAUUAUUCUGCCAAAUUGAUCAAAUCACUUUGAACAAUUUAUGCAUGUACUUCAUUACACAAUAGUUUCCAUUUCUGCACAUUCUAACACCUAUUAAUUUUUGCAAAUACUAUA